rnacentral:lncRNA from 1 species
CCUUCUCAGUUUCUCGGGUGCAAAACUCAAGCUUUGGACAACAGCAGGAGCAGUCAGUUAUGUUCUCACUCUGUUUGCUUUGGAAGUCCUGCAGUGUGCUGGUGUGAACACAGCCAUAGGAGUGGGGCAGUUCAGGAUAAAUCAAAAACAAAAGUGCCAUUAUCCAUAUGGGACCUCACGAGUGCAUCACAUCCCCCAGCAAUUCUGAGCGCUCUGUGUAUGGUUCUCGCUUGGUUUUAACUCAAUUUCUUUGAGAUGCAAAUCAGAGGGAUUAUAUUCAGAGACUGCAUCAGAAAGUCUUUAAUCCAAAUGGGCUAUAAGAUUUAUUUGGAAGAGCCAAAUGUCUUGUCUGGGACAGAAGCAACCGAGCUGAACUGAAACAGAUGGACGUAAAGGAAAUUAAGCAACUCUAAUGGUCUUAUCCAGAGUUUCAAAGUAUUUGGUCUUCGGAAAGCUCCAGCUCCUGGAAGCACGUGAUGAGAUGGGGAGCUCAAGUUUCAUUUAAAAACAGGCUUUGCAGUUCACUGAGAAAGACAAUAAUAAUGUUUUUAUUCCUCCUGUGUACAGAGGGAAGGCUGCCUUCCAAACCCCAGCUCCUCAGCUCCUGACGUCAGAUGGAAGUGUAUUGCACAACGUUUGAAUUCCUCAUCUUCAUCACAGUAUGGUUAUUUCAGUGGGCUGGAUUUGGGAUUUCGGAAGGUUGAUUCUUCCCCAGGUUCUUGGGGGUGCCAGGAGGUGAUCGCCCUCAUCUCUGCAAGGGGAAACCAUCUGCAGCCUGAGCAGUGAAGCCUUCCUGCUUGCAGCUGCGCCGUGCCCUGCUUGGCUCAAUGCUGAGUACCCAGAGCAGAGAAGCUUCACAUGUCUGUGCCUUGGCCAUCCUUCACCCCAGUGCUUUUGGAUUCGGAUUAAAUAAAAGCCAUCCACCGAAGCCUUAGAGCUGUCAGCAUGGGGAAUGACCUUCACCUCCUCACUCACCUCCAGGAGAUGCUGUGUCCGCUCGGCCGGGCGCAUGGUUGGCUGCAGCAGCACUGCCUGCUGCCCGGAGCCAGGUGCUUUCCCACCCUGGGGAGUUGAAGAGGAGGUGGCAGCGUUGGCUGUGGGUUGUUUCUGAACUCGCCCAUGGAUUGCUAAUGAUGUUUGUGAAAGCCCUGAAUGAAGACCACACACGGGAGGCUCAGGCAAGUGAUGUACCUUAGACCUGGAGGGUGAGAGGGAAAAAUGCUUUUGUGCCUGACUCACCGGCUCUGUGCUAACACUGACUCAUAAUUACUGAUUUUGAUUCAGGGGAAAAAAAAA